UACGUAGGUGGCAAGCGUUGUCCGGAUUUACUGGGCGCAAAGCGUGCGCAGGCGGAUCAUUAAGUAGGAAGUGAAAGGGUGAAGCUCAACUUCGCCACGGCUCCCUAUACUGGUGGUCUUGAAGCUCGGAGAGGAUAAGGGAACGACACGUGUAGCGGUGAAAUGCGUUGAGAUGUGUCGGAACACCGAUGGCGAAAGCACUUAUCUGGACGAGACUUGACGCUCAGGCACGAAAGCUAAGGUAGCAAACAGG
rnacentral:rRNA from 1 species